rnacentral:rRNA from 1 species
UACGGAGGGUGCAAGCGUUAUCCGGAUUCACUGGGUUUAAAGGGUGCGUAGGCGGAUAGGUAAGUCCGUGGUGAAAUCCCCAAGCUUAACUUGGGAACUGCCAUGGAUACUAUUUAUCUUGAAUAUUGUGGAGGUGGGCGGAAUAUGUCAUGUAGCGGUGAAAUGCUUAGAGAUGACAUAGAACACCGAUUGCGAAGGCAGCUUGCUACACAAUUAUUGACGCUGAGGCACGAAAGCGUGGGGAUCAAAC